rnacentral:lncRNA from 1 species
AGGUGGGGACGCGGCUCCCGCAGGGGCGGCCGCCUGAGGGAUGGCGUCCGCUCGAGGCCCGAACUUCGCCGCGCGUGUUUUGGCUGCACGACGCGGGGCGCGCCGACUCCGACAGCGGGACGAGGCCUGCGCGGACUCCAGAGUUUGGACGGAGAGAGAGAGAGAGGCAGAGACACAGGCAGAGGGAGAAGCAGGCUCCAUGCAGGGAGCCCAACGCGGGACUCGAUCCCAGGACCCCGGGGUCAUGACCUGAGCUGAAGGCAGAUGCUAAACCUCUGGGCCACCCGCGGCUGCCCCUUAUCUGAUUAUUUUUAUUUUAUUUUUUUAAGAUUUUAUUUAUUUGCUUAUUUAUUUAUUCAUGAUAGACACAGAGAGAGAGGCAGAGACCCAGGCAGAGGGAGAAGCAGGCUCCAUGCAGGGAGCCUGAUGUGGGACUCGAUCCCGGGGCCCCAGGACCACGCCCUGAGCUGAAGGCAGGCACUAAACCGCUGAGCCAUCCAGGGAUCCCUUAUUUUUUUAAGUUUUAUUUAUUUACUUAUUCAUGAUAGACCCACAGAGAGAGAGGCAGAGACACAGGCAGAGGGAGAAGCAGGCUCCCAGCAAGGAGCCCGACACAGAACUCGAUCCCAGGACCCCGGGGUCACACCUGAGCUGAAGGCAGGUACUAAACCGCUGGGCCACCCGCGGCUGCCCCUUAUGUGAUUAUUUUUAUAAGUGUCCCCCAGGCAUGACUGGAAAGGAAGCUGCCUCCUCAGCGACCGGGCCCAUUUUCCAUCACCAACCUGGUCUGUCAUCACCACUUGAAAUACUGACCAACAUUAAGACGUGGAAACUGCUUUUUGAAAGCAAAAGCCAAACGUCAUUAAAAGCAUCAUUUUGUAAAGGCCUGAAGUGGGAAUCUUCAGUGAUGAUGGGUCUGGCUGCAGUUCCUGGACUUGCACCGCUGUAGAGCACUUAACUGGAGCUCUGUGACACCAUCCAUGUUUGAGCCAAGAAACCUUUGGACUCUAUCCAGUUGUCUGCUCUUCAAAUAACGCUCCUAGAAGCAUUUUUGUGUGCCUCCUUAUGUUUAGGAACUACGAUUGUUGGGUUGCUGUCCUCACGUUUCACAGAUAAUGCUGAAAAUUUUUACAAAGAAAUUGUGCCAAUUGCUAUAGCUUUACAUCACCACUAAUUCUUGAUAUUGUCAAACUUUUAAUGUUUGCCAGUCGGAUGGGUAUAAAGUGAUAUCCUGUGGUUUUGAUUUUCCCUUUUCCCUGAUUUGCACCUCAGUUGAACAUCGAAUAGGUUGGUGGGCCCUAUGCACAUCCUCUAUGAAAUACCUGUUAACCAGGUUUCUAUUUUGUUCUUUCUUAUUUCUUAUUCAUUUGUAAGCAUUCUUUUUUUUUUUUUUUUUUUUUUUAAGAUUUUAUUUAUUCAUGAGAGGCCCAGAGAGAGAGAGACACAGGCAGAGGGAGAAGCAGGCUCCAUGCAGGGAGCCCGACGUGGAACUCGAUCCCGGGUCUCCAGGAUCACACCCUGGGCUGUAGGCAGUGAUAAACCGCUGAGCCACCCGGGCUGCCCAGUAAGCAUUCUUUAUAAAGUCUGGAAAUUCGUUCUCAGUUGGGAGCGUGUAUGAUAAAUAUCUUCUCCCACUUGCUACUUGCUUUUUCACUUACUUUAUGUCUUUCAGUGUGCAGUUCUUUAUUUUAAAGUGCCAAACAUACCAAUAGUUCUCCUUAAUGGGUUUUGUGUAUUAGUGUCUUUAUAAAAUGUCUUUCCUUCUCAACUGAGCUUCAAAGUGGGAGACAUCAGAGACUUUUAAAAUACUAGUGAAGCCUCUUGUGUUUGUGUGCAGAGAAGUAUAUGAUCCUCUACGCUAAUGACACUUGCAUUUAUUUCAACCAUUAAGGCUUUAAGAACGUGGAAUAAGUUGGUUAGCUGCUAAUGACAAAACAAAUCCUUUAACUACCCAGCCAGCAGGUAUAUAGCACAGAACACUGUGUGUUGCUACAAGGGCUUAGUGACUGGAAAAAGGUGGUUCCUACUUGACUGUUCCAAAGAGCAGCUUCUCAGAUCUUCAGUGUUCACUGGUAAAUUUCUAACAGUAUUUGUGUAAAGUUUGUCGUUUCAUACUUUAUACACUACAGUUGCCAUCACCGAUCCCUGUUUUGCUGGCCUUUAAGCUAUGUGGUCCAAAAUCCUGCUUCCUUAAAACAUAGAGAGUUAAUGAGCAUCUCAAGCUUUUUUUCCUUUUUAAUGAUGCCUGCACUAUCAGAGAACACUAUUCUAGUGUUCUCUCUUUUGUUUGGCACAUAAUCAUGUACAACCUUUUUAUUUCUUUGAGGUGGGAGUAUAUUUUUAGUUCCUAAACGCCAUACUAUAAAGAUCAAAUUCUUAAGCGUGUUUGAGUAGCUCAAAAGUAAAGAUAUAUUAAGGGGGGAAAAAAAAACACUGGUCUAGAUGCAAGGCACACUUAAAGCAAGUUUUACUUUUGGUUGUAUUUUCUUUGUAUAUUAUAAACAUUUAUUUAACUUGUUGCAGUUUGAAGUAAAAAAUUUCCAAAAUGUAUACUCAACAAUAAUCAUUAAAAUGUUUGCAGCGUAAAAAUAUAAAUAAAUAAAAUAAACUGUCUUUCCUA